UACGUAGGGUGCAAGCGUUGUCCGGAAUUAUUGGGCGUAAAGAGCUCGUAGGCGGUUUGUCGCGUCGAAUGUGAAAACCCGGGGCUCAACCCCGGGCCUGCAUUCGAUACGGGCAGACUAGAGUUCGGUAGGGGAGUCUGGAAUUCCUGGUGUAGCGGUGAAAUGCGCAGAUAUCAGGAGGAACACCGGUGGCGAAGGCGGGACUCUGGGCCGAUACUGACGCUGAGGAGCGAAAGCUAGGGGAGCGAACGGG
rnacentral:rRNA from 1 species